GAAGGGGAAGCACAAGGUACCAGUGAGGUGAUUAUAGUAAAUAGCUACAAAAUUUCACCAUCUUUUGAGUUUUGUUGGUAGUGUGGGAAAGGUAAAUUUCUGGAAGAUUCAAUGCAGUUUUGUGGGUAUUUAUUUGCAGACCCUUCCAGGCUUGACAAAGAUUGCUGGAGAAGGUACAACGCAGAUGGUAAAACAGGAAAGGUUUGGUGUUCAUUUUUCUUUUGAGGAUUCCCUUAGGAAGGAAACUGAAGGUGCCAAGGCAGAGACUCAAGCCAUGGAUGUUUUGCCUGGAGCAAACAAGAUCAAACAGGAUGAAACUCCACCAGGGACAGGUCAACAAAAUGGCUUGAGAUGACAACGAAAUGAAAAACAUCACUGCUGGGAUUUUUUUGGAAAAAAAAAGAAAAUGCGUAAUGGGAAUCUUUGAAGAUUUGUAGAAGUUGCCACCCUCAGGAGCCACCUGACUCAUUGACUUCUUGCCAAUGAAGCCUGGUGAGCUAGACUUCCCUCCUACCUACGCUGUUACGUUUCAUUUUCCUCUCUCUCAUGUCUAAUUCAACUCAAUAUCCACUGUUUAAUUUUAACAAGACUGUAUAAUGUUUCCUUUUAAAAAAGUUUUCUUCCACAGUGCUUCAUUAUGAGGUCUGAAUUACUCAAUCCCUUCCUUUUGUCUCUUUUGUUUGUUUUAGCCUCUUCCCUCCUCUCCUGUAUUGAUAUUGGAUGAUAAGAAAACAUACAAAGCAUACAAAUACUUAUAAAAAAACCACAAAAACAACACAACAACAACUUUUUCCAUUUGUGCUUCCUCCUGGACAGUGCAGCUUUUCAUUUCUGUGCCUGUGAAGUGUCCAAAUGUCACCUGAAAAAAAAAAAAAAAAAAAAGUAUAAAGCUACAUAGCUAUUUUUGAGGGAUUUUUUUAAAACUGACGAGCAAUGGGCCCAGAAAAACUGUAAACAUCUGUACUGAAACUUGUAAUUCACCAUUCUGCUAUUACUGGCUUUGCUUUAAAAUAGGUGAAAGUCAGAGAGGAUGAUUUUUUUUUUCUCUGUAGAUAUUCAGGAGAAUUUUCUACUCUGUCACUGAGCUGUUCAGCUACUCCAGUGACGAGUUCAGUAGGAAAAAAGCUGUGCAGCUAGACAGAUGAGAUGGAAAUGUUGGCAUCAUUGCACUGUAUUAAACAAGCUCUACGAUUACACUCGCCAGAGUUUCUCUUUGAAUUUAAUGGAAAAGUUUAUAUUGAUGGAAUGCCUGAUUAAUAGGGAUUUAUAAUAGAAGCUCUGGUAAUGUGGAAAGCAUAUAAAUCUCAUAUGUCUGUAUCUAUUGCCUGUCUUUACUAGAUAAUUUUCACUUGGUUCAGGAUUUAACUCUAGUAGGAAACAACUUUUGUGGAUGAAAAUCUAAUGGCCAUAACAAGAAAGCAGCACCACAAUUUGCAAUUUUGUUAAAUACUUACUUGAAAAGCCCUUCAGGUUGCUUGCAGUCACAGGAAAUAAUUAGAUUAAAAUACAUAUUUAUUUUCAGCUUUGGGAGUCUUCAGAUUUAGCAGCUUCCUGACAUUAAUGCAGUUCCCUGUCUCAAACUGAGUCUCUAAAGCCAGCUCAGGAUCUGACACAGUACAAGUUGUUUGAAUCCUUACGUCGUUUUUGUCCCUGUUUGUUUUAUGCUCCCACACAUUUUGCUAUUGUAGAGCCAUCCAUGGAUCUACACUGGCAUAAAACUGGUGUGGGAGGGCAGAAAAUCAGGCUAUUAUUUUAUGCCUGGGCUCCUCUGGUUUUGCAUGUACUCAACUCCUCCUGGCCCCAGCAGCAAUGCUGGGGUAGACCUGGGACCAGUUUGGAUGGCUCCUGCUGAGGGAAAACCUCACAAGAGCUCAGUGUCCAAGCCAAGACUGUGUAGUACCAUCACUUUUUUACUUAGGGUAGAUAGAAGUUAGAGGCUUCUGAUUUAAUUAAUAUGCUAACCUCAUACUUCCACCAAAGGUACUUGGUAUGGAUAAAGUAAAUUCACUAGCCAGCAUACAUGAGCUAUUUAAUUUUGCAACCAUUUCUGCCUUCAAGAUCUUAGAUUCAAUCUGAUUUUAUAAGGCUUACUGGAGCUUCCCUGCUUCAUGCCAGA